CCUACGGGUGGCAGCAGUGGGGAAUAUUGCACAAUGGGGGAAACCCUGAUGCAGCAACGCCGCGUGAGCGAUGACGGCUUUCGGGUUGUAAAGCUCUAUCUUCAGGGAAGAAAAUGACGGUACCUGACGAGGAAGCCACGGCUAACUACGUGCCAGCAGCCGCGGUAAUACGUAGGGGGCGAGCGUUAUCCGGAUUUACUGGGCGUAAAGGGAGCGUAGACGGUCCUUCAAGCGAGAUGUGAAAUGCUGGGGCUCAACCGUGGGACUGCAUUUGAAACUGUAAGUCUAGAGUGCAGGAGAGGAAGGCGGAAUUCCUGGUGUAGCGGUGAAAUGCGUAGAGAUUAGGAGGAACACCAGUGGCGAAGGCGGCUUGCUGGACUGUGACUGACGUUGAGGCUCGAAAGCGUGGGGAGCAAACAGGAUUAGAUACCCUAGUAGUC
rnacentral:rRNA from 1 species